CAAGGGGCCCUUCAAGGACGCAUGCCGGAACCGUCUGAGCCUGCGCUUUAGAAUCUUUGGGUGUUUGUGACCUCUUGUGAAGCCAUCUCAAAUGACUCUUCCACCAGCAGACGAUGAGUUCUGGCUUCUCUUCUGUAAACUGGGAUAAUACGGUCUAUAUGGCUUAGGUACUCAUGGGGAGAGACAGACUCCAAAGAAGUGAGCCAUUUGUCACUCUACAAUGGUCCCCCUCAAAUUCUUCUCCAAAUGGGAACCUAUUUAUCAAAUUUAUGUUGAACAUCUACUUUGUAUCUAGGCACUGUGGUAUGUUCCCGAUAGAACCCUGAGGGACCUAAAUGAUGGUGGAAAACAUCAAAAGAGAAUUAGAAUACUAGAAAUGCCAUACUUGGCCAAGGGAGCUUUCUGCAGAGCUGUGUUUAUAACACAAGUCUGUCUGCUGCCUAAACACGCAGGCAGGUGAUUGGAAGUCAGAAAAACACAAGCAGGUCUGUUCCCUGUCAUCCGAGGGCAGCUGGGGCAAGAGAGGGAGGAGCAGACCCUAGCCAGAACCAUUUACCCCCUUGCAAUCCAUUAUUUGUCUGUCUUAUCUUCCAAUGGCCAGGAGCAGCCUCAACUUUUCACAAAACAUUCCUGGCCUAAAAUUCUCUCUGUUCUUAGGCCAUCAAUAAUAACAGAUGCUCUGGACUCUAAAUCCAUCCAGCUUUAGAGUGUUAGGCAAAAAAUCAUUCCUCCUCAGCAGGCCUUUUCUUUUGUUAAGCAGCCCCCACCCAAUCCCCUGGUGUGUUUAAAACUCCAGCCCCUCCCCCAAAAGAAAGCAAAAAUAAAAGUGAAA